GACGAACGCUGGCGGCGUGCCUAAUACAUGCAAGUAGAACGCUGAAGGAGGAGCUUGCUUCUCUGGAUGAGUUGCGAACGGGUGAGUAACGCGUAGGUAACCUGCCUGGUAGCGGGGGAUAACUAUUGGAAACGAUAGCUAAUACCGCAUAACAGUAGAUGUUGCAUGACAUUUGCUUAAAAGGUGCAAUUGCAUCACUACCAGAUGGACCUGCGUUGUAUUAGCUAGUUGGUGGGGUAACGGCUCACCAAGGCGACGAUACAUAGCCGACCUGAGAGGGUGAUCGGCCACACUGGGACUGAGACACGGCCCAGACUCCUACGGGAGGCAGCAGUAGGGAAUCUUCGGCAAUGGACGGAAGUCUGACCGAGCAACGCCGCGUGAGUGAAGAAGGUUUUCGGAUCGUAAAGCUCUGUUGUAAGAGAAAAACGAGUGUGAGAGUGGAAAGUUCACACUGUGACGGUAUCUACCAGAAAGG
rnacentral:rRNA from 1 species